rnacentral:rRNA from 1 species
GCGACCUACGGGGCGCAGCAGUGGGGAAUAUUGCACAAUGGGGGAAACCCUGAUGCAGCGACGCCGCGUGAGUGAAGAAGUAUUUCGGUAUGUAAAGCUCUAUCAGCAGGGAAGAAAAAAGACGGUACCUGACCAAGAAGCCCCGGCUAACUACGUGCCAGCAGCCGCGGUAAUACGUAGGGGGCAAGCGUUAUCCGGAUUUACUGGGUGUAAAGGGAGCGUGGACGGUUAUGUAAGUCUGGAGUGAAAGCCCGGGGCCCAACCCCGGGACUGCUUUGGAAACUGUGUAACUGGAGUACAGGAGG